UGAACCUUGCUGUAAAGCGAGGGGAUCAGUGGCGCACGGGUGAGUAGCACGUAGGUGACCUGCCCCAAAGAGGGGAAUAACUUCGCGAAAGCGUAGCUAAUACCCCAUGUGCUCGGCCAUUCGUUUGGUCGAUGAAAGCUUGAGCGAAAGCUCCGGUGCUUUGGGAGGGGCCUGCGGCCCAUCAGCUAGUUGGUAGGGUAAUGGCCUACCAAGGCGAAGACGGGUAGCUGGUCUGAGAGGAUGAUCAGCCACAAUGGCACUGAAACACGGGCAAUACUCCUACGGGAUUCUGCAGUGGGUAUUUCUAGAAAUCUCCUACAUAUCUCAG
rnacentral:sRNA from 1 species